rnacentral:rRNA from 1 species
GUCCACGCCGUAAACUAUGAGUACUAGAUAUGGGGGGAGUUUGACCCCUUCCGCAUCGUAGCAAACGCAUUAAGUACUCCGCCUGGGAAUUACGGUCGCAAGACUAAAACUCAAAGGAAUUGACGGGGCCCGCACAAGCGGUGGAUUAUGUGGUUUAAUUCGAAGCAACGCGAAGAACCUUACCUAGGUUUGAAAUCCUGAGAAUCCUCCGGAAAUGGAGGAGUGCCCUUCGGGGAAUUCAGUGACAGGUGCUGCAUGGCUGUCGU